rnacentral:rRNA from 1 species
GACGAACGCUGGCGGCGUGCUUAACACAUGCAAGUCGAACGGAAAGGCCCUGCUUUUGUGGGGUGCUCGAGUGGCGAACGGGCGAGUAACACGUGAGUAACCUGCCCUUGACUUUGGGAUAACUUCAGGAAACUGGGGCUAAUACCGGAUAGGAGCUCCUGCUGCAUGGUGGGGGUUGGAAAGUUUCGGCGGUUGGGGAUGGACUCGCGGCUUAUCAGCUUGUUGGUGGGGUAGUGGCCUACCAAGGCUUUGACGGGUAGCCGGCCUGAGAGGGUGACCGGCCACAUUGGGACUGAGAUACGGCCCAGACUCCUACGGGAGGCAGCAGUGGGGAAUAUUGCACAAUGGGCGGAAGCCUGAUGCAGCAACGCCGCGUGCGGGAUGACGGCCUUCGGGUUGUAAACCGCUUUCGCCUGUGACGAAGCGUGAGUGACGGUAAUGAGUAAAGAAGCACCGGCUAACUA